CUAUGUCGCUCAGGGUGCCCCACGACGGCCGUUCUACGUGUGCCCCACGAUCACAAACUCGCCAGUCUAAACAGUAGUCAGAGGUUAUGACUAAUACUAUUUAAUAGGUUACCCAUACUUACCAUAUUUGAAAUAGUAUUUUCGUUUAGUCCCCCUCAGUUACCCAUGUACAACUUAGUUAAAGCUCACCACAAUAAUCAGCGGUUAUGCUAGCACUACCUGUCUAGCCCCCCGACAGUUAUAUAACUACGUACAACUUAAUUAAAGCUGAGACAAUAACCAGCGGUUAUGACCAGUACUCUGACUAGCCCCCCAUAGUUACUGCAACUGAGUACAACUUAACUAAAGUCAAGCGGUUAGCCAGAAAUCUAAAACCUCACCUGAUGUGCCCCAUGCUCCAUCUAGCCUGAGUUUUAGUAUGCACUUAACCCUGGACGCAGAUUUGCGGAAACAUAGCCUUCACUUAAUCUACUUGAGGAAAUAAUUUCAGAGUAACUCAGAGUAAAUCAAAUGUAACAAUUUAUUAUCAGUCAGGUAAGUAUUAUGCCAAUUACAUAGCCAAUUCAGAGAUAUCAAAUUCUCAAAGGUGAAUCUAAGAGUAAAAGAUGCAUACCUGACUUUUAGAAAAAUACAUAAGUAUGAAGUGUGUGGACACACUUCAUGCUAAGGGCUCAUUCUG
ensembl:lncRNA